GAUGAACGCUAGCGGCAGGCUUAACACAUGCAAGUCGAGGGGCAGCACAGGUAGCAAUACUGGGUGGCGACCGGCAAACGGGUGCGGAACACGUACACAAUCUACCUUUGUCUGGGGUAUAGCCCGGAGAAAUCCGGAUUAAUCCCCCAUAAGAUAUUAAUAAGGCAUCUUAUAGAUAUUAAAACUCCGGUGGACAAGGAUGAGUGUGCGUCCCAUUAGCUAGUUGGUAGGGUAACGGCCUACCAAGGCGACGAUGGGUAGCUGGUGUGAGAGCACGACCAGCCACACGGGCACUGAGACACGGGCCCGACUCCUACGGGAGGCAGCAGUGAGGAAUAUUGGUCAAUGGACGCAAGUCUGAACCAGCCAUGCCGCGUGAAGGAUGAAGGCCUUCUGGGUUGUAAACUUCUUUUAUUGGGGAAGAAAAUUACGGUUUCUACUGUAACCGACGGUACCCAAGGAAUAAGCACCGGCUAACUCCGUG
rnacentral:rRNA from 1 species